AACGAACGCUGGCGGCGUGCCUAACACAUGCAAGUCGAACGGGAAAACCCGCAAGGGUGAGUACAGUGGCGCACGGGUGCGUAACACGCGGGUAAUCUGCCCAGAAGCCCGGAAUAACUCCCCGAAAGGGGUGCUAAUGCCGGAUGAGACCACGGGGACUUCGGUUCCUGGGGGAAAAGGUGGCCUCUGUAUACAAGCUAUCACUUCUGGAUGAGCCCGCGGCCCAUCAGCUAGUUGGCGGGGUAAUGGCCCACCAAGGCUACGACGGGUAGCUGGGCUGAGAGGAAGAUCAGCCACACUGGAACUGAGACACGGUCCAGACUCCUACGGGAGGCAGCAGUGGGGAAUCUUGCGCAAUGGGCGAAAGCCUGACGCAGCAACGCCGCGUGUGUGAUGAAGGUCUUCGGAUCGUAAAGCACUGUCGGGAGGGACGAAUAAGGGCCGGGUGAACAAUCCGGUUCGACGACGGUACCUCCAGAGGAAGCACCGGCUAACUCUGUGCCAGCCGCCGCCCGUAAAAC
rnacentral:rRNA from 1 species